rnacentral:rRNA from 1 species
AGCAGCCGCGGUAAUUCCAGCUCCAAUAGCGUAUAUUAAAGUUGUUGCAGUUAAAAAGCUCGUAGUUGAAUUUCGGGAUUGACACAUCGGUCGUGCCUUAAGGGGUAUGAACUGGUGUAGUCAAUUUCUCACCUUCUGGAGAACCGCGAUGCCCUUAAUUGGGUGUCGUGGGGAACCAGGACCUUUACUUUGAAAAAAUUAGAGUGUUUAAAGCAGGCAUUUUGCUUGAAUACAUUAGCAUGGAAUAAUAAAAUAGAACGGCAUGAUUCUAUUUUGUUGGUUUCUAGGAUCACCGUAAUGAUUAAUAGGGAUAGUUGGGGGCAUUAGUAUUCAAUUGUCAGAGGUGAAAUUCUUGGAUUUAUUGAAGACUAACUACUGCGAAAGCAUUUGCCAAGGAUUGUUUUCUAUUAAUACAAGAACGUAAAGGUUAGGGGAUACGAAGACGAUACAGACUACCGUACGUAGUCCUUAACCAUAAACUAUACGACCGUACGUAAGGACUACGAGACGUAUUAGUUUU